GUCUCUGUAGCGCAAUGGAUAGCGCGUUGGACUUCUAAUCCAAGGGGCGUGGGUUCGAAUCCCUCCGAGGAUG